CCUACCAUAAUAUAGUUGAGCUUGUACCCGCGGCUUCAUCUGUUACGACUGAUUAAAUAAUAUUUUUAAAGAGCACGGUCUAAUAACUCAAUGGUUAAUACUUAUUUCCCAUCCAGUUUUUAUUCGACUCUUGAGGGUCGCGCUCAAGUCGACAAGAACGCCCCAGCUAUAACAACAAUUGUUAUUGUCAAAACUAGACAAUAAUCUGCUGUCUUGGUCUCCAAUUUCCUCAGCCUCUUGGUCUGACAAUUCUCAUAUACUCUGCUCAUGGCAGCUUCCACCAGUACUAAUCAACAUGGCUUCUGCUCAGAAUCUUCUAAUCGACAUUGGAAUGUUUUCUUGAGCUUCAGAGGUGAAGACACACGCAAAACCUUCACCGCUCACCUCUACACUGCCUUAAAACAGGCCGGUGUCAAGACAUUUAUGGAUGACUAUGGACUACCAAGAGGUGAAGAAAUCUCGAAGCAGUUACUCAAGGCAAUCCAGGGCGCGGAGAUUUCUCUUAUUAUUUUCUCAGCCAACUAUGCAUCCUCGCCCUGGUGCCUUAACGAGCUCGUAGAGAUCCUGGAGUGUAAGCAAAGAAGGGGACAGUUGGUUUACCCUGUUUUUUAUAAUGUUAGUCCUGCGGUCGUGCGCCACAGGACUGGGAGUUUUUCGGAUGCUUUCGAGAGUCAUGAGGAGAGAUAUGGUUCUGACAUUGAGAAGGUGGAUAAAUGGAAAGCUGCGCUAACUGAGGCUGCAGGUUUGUCCGGCUAUGACCUACAAAGUGAUGCAGAUGGGUACGAAGCUAGAUUUAUCCAGAUAAUUGUAAAUAAAGUCCUACUUGAAGUAAAUCUAGUAGGUCUGAAUGUUGCAAAGGAACCUGUUGGAAUAGAAUCUCGUGUAGAAGAAUUAACACGGCUGUUGAGCAAUGACAACAAUGAUAUCCGAAAGAUUGGAAUAUAUGGUAUGGGUGGCAUAGGUAAAACCACCAUUGCGAAAGCUCUGUACAACAAAAACUUUCAUCAGUUUGAAGGUAGUUGCUUUCUUGCAAAUGUUAGAGAAGCUUCAGAGGGACAUGAUGGUAUACCUCACUUACAAGAGCAGCUUCUUUCUGAAAUUCUAGUAGUAGAUAAAAUCAGGGUUGAAAAUGAAGAUAGAGGGAUCAACUUGUUGAUGGAGAGAUUAAGUUCCAAGAAAGUUCUUAUUGUUCUGGAUGAUUUAAACAACAGAAGGCAAUUUGAUUAUUUAGCAGGACAGUGGAACCAGUUUGCUCUAGGUAGCAGAAUCAUCGUAACAACACGGGAUGCAGGUCUACUAGAACAAAUUGAGGUGGAUUCAAGGUACAGUGUUGAAGAACUAGACAGAGACGAAUCCUUGGAGCUCUUCAGUCGGCAUGCUUUCAGAAAACCUGUUCCUUCCGAUGAUUAUAUGGAACUUUCUGAAGGCAUAAUAUACCAAGCAGGAGGGCUUCCGUUAGCUCUUGAGGUUUUAGGAUCUUAUUUGUUUAAAAGAUCCAUGACAGAAUGGAGAAGUUCCUUACAUAAAUUGCAACAGAUUCCUCGAAAUGAGAUUCAAAAGAAACUUCUAAUAAGCUACCAUGCUCUUGGUGACGGUAACCUGCAGGAUGUCUUCCUUGAUAUUGCAUGUUACUUUAUCGGCAAUGAUAAAGACAUGACAAUUAGUAUAUUAAACUCAUGUGGCUUCGAUUCAGAAAAUGGAAUCAUCAUUUUGAUCGAGAGAUGUUUACUGUCAAUAAACGAAAAGAAUGAGAUCAGGAUGCACGAUCUACUGCAAGAGAUGGGAAGAGAUAUUACUCGUAAUAACUGCCCUAAUGAACCUUGGAAACACAGUCGAUUGUGGUCAUAUGAAGAUAUAUGCAAUGCCUUAAACAAAAAAAAGGGAAAGAAAUGCAUCGAAUGUAUCAUACCAUAUGGAGGGCUUCCAAUGCAUGCAUCAUUUGAAACCAGUGCUUUCAGGAAAAUGCAUAAAUUAAGAUUGCUUAGCAUCAACAAAAUGCUUCUCAGUGGAAGUUUCGAGGACAUAUUUGAAGAGUUAAGGUGGCUUUCUUGGCAAGGCUGUUCUUUGGAGAGUUUACCAAUUAAUUUCCAACCAACAAACUUGGUUUUCCUAGACUUACGACGGAGCAACUUCAAGACAUUGUGGAAUGGUCCUAAGUGUCUGCAACAACUGAAGAUCCUAAAUAUCAGUGGCUGCACAUUCUUGAAGAAAACCCCAGACUUCAGCAGAACUCCGUGCAUUGAGGAUCUGAAUCUAAGUGGUUGUACUGAUAUGGAUGAGGUUGACCCAUCUAUCGGACACUUACUUAGACUGGUUAAUUUGAAUUUGACGGGCUGCAUCAAGCUAAAAUGUCUGCCAAGCAGCGUAUGCAACUUGACAGCUCUGGAACAACUAGAUCUUGAAGGUUGCUCAAUCCUAGAAGGAUUACCGCAGAGACUGGGGAAUAUGCAAUCCUUGAGCAUUCUUCGGGCAGGAUGCACUGCAAUUACAACAGUACCGGGAUCCAUUGAAUGUCUCAGUAAACUGGUUAUCUUAAAAUUAAAUAGAUGCAAGAAUCUGCGUUAUCUUCCCAGCAGCAUUUGCAAACUUAGACUGUUGGAAGAUUUAAUCCUCUGUGGUUAUUCAAAUUUGGAACAAUUGCCUGACGACAUAGGCGAUAUGGAAUCUUUAAAAAUGCUUUCUGCAGAGUACACUGGAAUCACAUACUUACCAGAAUCAAUCGGACGUUUAAGUAAACUAAAAAAAUUGUUGUUGCACAGCUGCAACAAACUGAGGCAUCUUCCGAGUAGCAUUUGCCACCUGAAAGCUGUGGAAUGUCUAGGUCUUAAUUAUUGCUCCAAUUUACAAGAACUACCUGAAAAGAUCGGGAACAUGGAAUCCUUGAAGAAGCUUCAGGCAGUAGGCACAGAUAUCACGACAUUACCUGAAUCCACUGGACGUCUGAGUAAACUUGUUAAGAUUGAAUUAAGUAGCUGCAAGAGGCUUGAAUAUCUUCCAAGGAGCAUCUGUAAUCUCAGGUCACUAGAAUGUCUAGAUCUUAGUGGUUGUUCAACUCUUGAAGGAUUGCCUGAUAAUAUCGGGGAGAUUGAAACUUUGAGGGAGCUUCGAGCAUGCAACACCAUGUUUAUGGAAGUUCCUAAAUCUAUUGGAUGCCUGAAGAACCUUGAAAUCCUGGCGUUGCCGUUCCAAGCACAAGGAGUUGAUAUGAAUAUGUGUUCUAUUUCAAGGAAUACUGGAUUCAUACCGGCCUCAGUUUGGUCUUUGUUUGCACUCACAAACUUAAAUCUUAGCAACUGCUAUCUGGUUGAUCUUCCAGAUUCUAUCGGGGAUUUAUCAUCAUUGCAGCAUCUGAAUCUGUCCGGAAACCGUUUCAAUGUAUUAACAUCCAGCCUCGGGCAGCUGUCCAAUUUAAAAAGUCUUUCAAUUAUAGGGUGCGAGUUUCUCUGGGCAAUUCUGGAACUUCCACCUAACUUGAGUGAUUUAUAUGCGAGUUACUGUGCAUCAAUUGAAACACUAGUCGUAUCCAAGUUGAGUAACUUAAGGUGUUUGUAUCUUUCCUAUUGUACUAACUUGGUUGACAUUGAAGGAUUGAACAAACUUGAAUCUAUAGCGCGAAUUGAGAUGGCAGGUUGUGAAAAUCUAUUGUUCACCGCAGAUGAAACUCUGUUUCAGAUAUACUGCAGUAUCGGGGGGAGGAUUGACAUAUAUCUUCCAAUGAUGGACAUUCCGCGAUGGUUCUGGUAUCAAGAACCAGAGAAUUCUGGAUUCUCUUUCACCAUGCCAGCAACUGUUCCCACAAGUUUCAUAGGGAUUAUUCUCUGGUUUAAUAUUAGCUGUCGGACUCCCACUCCUUAUCUAUCAGAUUUUUGGGCUCAAGUUAUAGCUGGUACUUCUUUUCGUAAUUCAUGGUCUUGUCGGACUUCAUUAUGGAAGGAAGUAUCACAGUCGUGGGUAAGCUUCAUACCGCAGAAACAAUUCCCUCUGUAUGCCAAUGAAAGAGUUUCAGUAAGGGUAAAAAGUGGUCCGCUUGAGAGUAUUGGAGCUCAUUUGGUAUAUAUUUGAAUUUUGAAGUGUACCAUCCGGGCUAUUCUCGAUCUUUUGCAAGGUUCUAGUGGUACUUAAGAAGCUGAACUACAGAAAUUCUGAACUCAAGUCAUGAAGUUAUCCAUUAUAGUAUGCGAGGACUAAAAUUCGAGAAGAACCUUAAGAGUUGGCAGCUUCUUGUUUCCUUCUCCUUUCUAGCAAUUUCUUUUGCAUUAGCAGCAGCUUCGGCAACAUCUUUUCUCAAAGCAGUCUCCGUGAUGACAUUCUUCCCGUGUGCUGGAAAAGGCAGACGCUAUAGAUGUUCCACCUAUGAUCGUCUCCGUGAUAAUCUAAUUAAAUAUUUUGAUCUUCCUAUACAAAAAGAGAGUUAUUCAUCACAGGAAAGGAGGACUGAUCUGCAGGUGAGGAUAAUUCUGAUGAUAACACUGAUUAUUGUGAUUCUUAUUCUCUCUGAGCAUUUCUGGAAGUCUUAAGAAGCAACUAAAGUUGUGUUCGAUUGGAGUGAAUAAAUUUGGAAGGAGUAAAAUGAAAUUUGAACUUAUUAGGAACAAAUAUUUAUAAAUUUCAUUUCUUCUUUCAUCAUUC